UGUGUAUGUGUGUGUGUGUGUGUGUAGUUAUGCCUGCAUGUUGGUUUUGGACUAUGCUGGUAGAAUCUAGAAUCAGCAUAUGCAAGACGGAUGAAAUAAAAGCUUUGAAUGAGACAAGUCUUAAUGGCUAUGUCGUAUUUUGCCUGCAAUUUCUUUAUUGAGUUUACAUCAUUGCCCGAUUCAUAUUAUUACCUCACAAAAUAGUUUUCAUAUUUGAAGACAUAAACCAAAAGAAAUUUUA
rnacentral:lncRNA from 1 species